UACAGAGGGGGCAAGCGUUAUUCGGAAUUAUUGGGCGUAAAGGGCGCGUAGGCGGCCUGGCAAGUGGAAGGUGAAAUCCCUCGGCUUAACCGAGGAACUGCCUCCCAAACUGCUUGGCUUGAGACCAGGAGAGGUGAGUGGAAUUCCCAGUGUAGCGGUGAAAUGCGUAGAUAUUGGGAGGAACACCAGUGGCGAAGGCGGCUCACUGGACUGGUACUGACGCUGAUGCGCGAAAGCGUGGGGAGCAAACAGG
rnacentral:rRNA from 1 species